GGUCGACUGGUGUAGUGGUUAUCACGUCUGUCUUACAAUCACACCAGUGAGGUAUAUUGUGAGGACACAGAAGGCCGCAGGUUCGAUCCCUGCGUCGAUCA